rnacentral:rRNA from 1 species
UACGGAGGGUGCAAGCGUUAUCCGGAUUCACUGGGUUUAAAGGGUGCGUAGGUGGGAAUGUAAGUCAGUGGUGAAAUCUCCGUGCUUAACAUGGAAACUGCCAUUGAUACUAUGUUUCUUGAAUCUUCCGGAGGUCAGCGGAAUAUGUCAUGUAGCGGUGAAAUGCUUAGAUGUGACAUAGAACACCAAUUGCGAAGGCAGCUGACUACAGGGGCAUUGACACUGAGGCACGAAAGCGUGGGGAUCAAACAGG